rnacentral:lncRNA from 1 species
CGUGCCUGCUCAGGUGGCCAUUGCCGUUGAUGCCCCCUCUGACGUCAAUCCCGACGUCCCUCGAGCCUCUUCACGGAGCCCCCCAGUCGAGGAUUUUGCUCCAGAGGCUCGUCCCGAGGGGGCACCGAGGGCCGAAAGAAGGAGGAGGAAGAAGACCCUGGCCCGCAAGAGCUGCAGCUGCAAGACUGCCAUCGAGGGGGCCGACGGCUCCGAGGGA